UGGGGAAUAUUGCGCAAUGGGCGAAAGCCUGACGCAGCAACGCCGCGUGUGUGAUGAAGGCCUUCGGGUCGUAAAGCACUGUCAGGAGGGAAGAUGGUUUGUCAGAGUAACUACUGGCAGAUUGACGGUACCUCCGGAGGAAGCACCGGCUAACUCCGUGCCAGCAGCCGCGGUAAUACGGAGGGUGCAAGCGUUGUUCGGAAUUACUGGGCGUAAAGGGCGCGUAGGCGGUUCGCUAAGUCAGGUGUGAAAUCCCCCGGCUCAACUGGGGAACUGCGCUUGAAACUGGCAGACUUGAGUACGGGAGAGGGUAGCGGAAUUCCGAGUGUAGAGGUGAAAUUCGUAGAUAUUCGGAGGAACAUCGGUGGCGAAGGCGGCUACCUGGACCGAUACUGACGCUGAGGUGCGAAAGCGUGGGGAGCAAACAGG
rnacentral:rRNA from 1 species